CUCUCUCUCUCUCUCUCUCUCUCUCUACCAGGGCGUGCGUCUAUGUUAAUAUCACUCUUUGAAGUCUGUAGAUGUUGUUUUGCUUGGUUGCUGACAAUGGCAUCCAUCUCCUUGUUGUAGGUAUUGCCUCGUCGUGAAGGUAAACCGCCACAAAAUCUUUUCCCCCUUUUUCGCACCACAUACAUUAUUGACAAUUUGGAUCCUUAGCUGGAAGAUCAUUUUACACAUACUUGCAUGUAUGCGUUUGAUAGAGAAAGCGAGCAAAUACCCCAUUUGUAGCGAGUUAGUGCGAUAAAGGGAUUUGUGGGGAAACCACGGGAAGAGGUAAAGAGAACCGCAUAGGAACUGGGGGCAAGGAGAGAAAUAUUGGAAUGAGGUCAACUCUCUUCUGACCAAUCUCUUGCAACGACCUUUUCCUUUUAAUAACACCAACUUUUACCAUCGAUUCUUUACCCAAUUCAUCAGCUACUUUAUCGUCAACCUUUCAUGUUUACAAAUUUUACUUCACCACAUUCUUAAACCGGACACGAAGCAGGCCCAGGCCGAGUUGACUUGGCAAAUCCAGCUGUGUUUGGAAAAAAAGGCUAUCUUAAAACUAUAAAAAUUAGAGAAUAUAUCAAAAUUCCCAUAAGAAAUGCACUAAUAAUAUUUUUUUAACUUUUUGAGUUCAUAAUCAUCAUCUUUCAUGGGUGUUUUGGAAUAAAAAUAACAGUAAAAUGUUUAUAGUUCAUAUCUCAAUACGCCUUUUCAUGUUCUCGUCUUUGUGUAGCUCGAGUAUUUUGAUAAAUGUCCCUAAGAAGUAAUUAAAAUUGCAAAAGACAUUAAUGAAAUUAAAAAAAAAAAAAGCUAUCAGUGACGACAAAAAUCUUUGGCACGUAGACUUUCAUCCACCAGUGCCAUAAAAAUUUACUUCCUAUUUGUCAGAAUACAGGCUAUAUCUAGGUUAAAGGAGAACCAGAUACAUGUAGACUGGAUUAUUUCGAAGAUUUACGAAAUAUCUCCAGUUUUACAGUGAAAAAGUUAAUUCUAAAAAUAAAUUUGGAAUGGAAUGGUUACUUUUGAUUCGUGCAGGGACUGACAGAGAAGUUCAAGGACAAGGACACCACUUUCACGGGCAACGCUCGCUUCGCUUACGAAGAUUUCAUGCUCAGUGUCUUACCCUUUGUUGUCGCAUAAUCUCUAUGCGACCCUAGCGUUGCCAGUAAUGAACAUGUAAUGAAAGCCCGGGGCAUAUUACUCCUAAGCCUCAGUAGUAAAUAAAGAUGCAUUACAUA